rnacentral:rRNA from 1 species
GCCAUAAAAGUCAGAUGUGAANNNCUGGGNUCAACNGAGGUNNUGCAUUNGAAACUUUAUGGCUGAGUGCAGGAGAGGAGAGUGGAAUUCCCAGUGUAGCGGUGAAAUGCGUAGAUAUUGGGAGGAACNCCAGUGGCGAAGGCGACUCUCUGGACUGUAACUGACGCUGAGGCGCGAAAGCUGGGGGAGCGAACGGGAUUAGAUACCCCGGUAGUCCCAGCCGUAAACGAUGGGUACUAGGUGUAGGAGGGUCAACCUUCUGUGCCGCAGUAAACACAAUAAGUACCCCGCCUGGGGAGUAUGGUCGCAAGAUUGAAACUCAAAGGAAUUGACGGGGGCCCGCACAAGCAGCGGAGCAUGUGGUUUAAUUCGAAGCAACGCGAAGAACCUUACCAGGGCUUGACAUCCCUCGCAUAGCCAAGAGAUUGGUGAAGCCCUUCGGGGCGAGGAGACAGGUGGUGCAUGGUUGUCGUCAGCUCGUGUCGUGAGAUGUUGGGUUAAGUCCCGCAACGAGCGCAACCCCUGUUGCUAGUUGCUACCAUUUAGUUGAGCACUCUAGCGAGACUGCCGGAGACAAUUCGGAGGAAGGUGGGGAUGACGUCAAAUCAUCAUGCCCUUUAUGUCCUGGGCUACACACGUGCUACAAUGGCCGUAACAGAGGGCAGCGACUUGGUGACAAGAAGCUAAUCCCUUAAAAGCGGUCUUAGUUCGGAUUGCAGGCUGCAACUCGCCUGCAUGAAGUUGGAGUUGCUAGUAAUCGCAGGUCAGCAUACUGCGGUGAAUACGCUCUCGGGCCUUGUACACACCGCCCGUCACACCACGGGAGUUUGUUGCACCAGAAGUAGGUAGUCUAACCGCAAGGAGGACGCUUACCACGGUGUGGCCGAUGACUGGGGUGAAGUCGUAACAAGGUAGCCGUAGGGGAACCUGCGGCUGGAUCACCUCCUU